GCCCAUUGCCUGACCAUCUUGACUGCUCUGGUCUGUUUAGCAGUCAUUGGAACAUUGGAACACCUAUGCUCACUCGUUUCUUGGCAUUGCAUCUCUCAUGAUGGAACAACAGCCACAGGAUGUGCAAGGUGGGCAAACAUCAGAUGGUCUGCUUGAAUGCAGGUCAGAACUCAGCACUGACAGAGGGACCACUUCACGGUCAAGGGUAGAAAGUAGCCAUGUAUCUGGAGAAAAGUAAGAGGUCUUCCGGCAGAUAUUCUUUUCAAUUAAUUAGAAGAGGAAAACUCUUAAAAAGCAUACAACUAACAACCCACAAUUUAGGUUAUUUGUUUCUGGGUCUACUUAACUAGAUUAACAUAAGUCAGAUUACUAUAGAUGGUCCACAAGGCCCUGGCAAUAUAGAGAAAGGAAUUACAACUCACUGCCCAACUUGGACCAAGAAACCACUGGAACCAAUUAGCUGUGACCUGCAGCAGGGUCAUGUACAAAUAUGGCAGCUCCUGUGGGAGCCACAUAGCCAGAAGGGGAAUUCAGAACAGACAAAUAAUAAGUAUCCACAGGAGGUUUAGCUGAGAAGUGAAAACUUUGGAUGGAAGUGGGAGUCAGAACAUGCUGGCAG
rnacentral:lncRNA from 1 species